UUCAAAUACUUUAAUAUCUAGAACACAAAGCAUCUGGAUAUCUAAGUCACCCAGAAAAGAGCCAACAUAGCCAGCUUGAAACUGUUAUCCUUAGAAGGGCCUGCUGGUAAGGCUGGUCCUGGCUGACCUCUCAAAAGACGGGCUGCAGGAGUGUUCCCACCACUCCCUGGUUAAAUCUUAGCCCGAGUACAUCUGUAUGCUGAGUCUCAUGUGUCCUCCUACCCAAUCAUCAAAUCUAGGAGCGGCCUUGAGAAGCUCCAAUACAAGUCUUCCUUAUUGUUCUCCCUGGACAGACAUCUCAAAUAAUGGACUGCUGAAUGCAAAUUCUAGUUUUUAUGGAAGUGCAAUGCACUGUGGGAAAAGACCUCUCUCUUGAUGACAUGCCUGAGCAUUGGUCUUGGCAACAGCUGAUCCUGGAAGGGAGUAGGAAGGCCGAUCAUCCUUCCUUCUGACAUAGUGCUGGAAGGUCAAGAGCAGCCUAAUGCCCUGUCACAACAAUGCCUAUGUCAUUCACCUCACUUCGACUCAUCCUGCAGGCAUUUCAUCAUCUCAUAUCAUCACAGGAACAAGGAGAACCCCAGUGCAAGCAGAGGCCCUCGCAGACGUGGGAGCCAUUGUGUUUGGCCAAGGAUCCUCAGUUCAGCAUUCAGCAAGCAGGGGCAGCUUACACAACCACCAGGACAGCUCGGGAGAGAACUGAGGGAUGUCUGGGCGGGCUCUCCCUGUGAGUGUGCAGCCGCCACUGCUGCAUUCGCCCCACCAGGGCCCAAGAAUCAGUCUCUGAACCGAACAGAAGAUGCGCACGUGGCGCAGCCCCCGAUGUGGCUGUGGGAACGAGGAAGAGUGGCAGA